rnacentral:rRNA from 1 species
CAACUUUCAACAACGCGUCUCCCGCUCCUGGCAUCGAUGAAGAACGCAGCGAAAUGCGAUACGUAACUUGAAUUGCAGAAUUCAGUGAAUCAUCGAAUCUUUGAACGCACAUUGCGCCCUUUGGUAUUCCAAAGGGCAUGCCUGUUCGAGCGUCAUUUGUACCCUC